AGAGUUUGAUCCUGGCUCAGAUUGAACGCUGGCGGCAGGCCUAACACAUGCAAGUCGAACGGUAACAUCUCUAGCUUGCUAGAAGAUGACGAGUGGCGGACGGGUGAGUAAUGCUUGGGAACUUGCCUUUGCGAGGGGGAUAACAGUUGGAAACGACUGCUAAUACCGCAUAAUGUCUUCGGACCAAACGGGGCUUCGGCUCCGGCGCAAAGAGAGGCCCAAGUGAGAUUAGCUAGCUGGUAAGGUAACGGCUUACCAAGGCGACGAUCUCUAGCUGUUCUGAGAGGAAGAUCAGCCACACUGGGACUGAGACACGGCCCAGACUCCUACGGGAGGCAGCAGUGGGGAAUAUUGCACAAUGGGGGAAACCCUGAUGCAGCCAUGCCGCGUGUGUGAAGAAGGCCUUCGGGUUGUAAAGCACUUUCAGUUGUGAGGAAAAGUUAGUAGUUAAUACCUGCUAGCCGUGACGUUAACAACAGAAGAAGCACCGGC
rnacentral:rRNA from 1 species